CCUCUGAAUUGUUAUGGCUAAGCACGCAAAAUGGCCGCUAGAGCUUGCCUCUGGCGUUGUUUUUCCUGUCGAAAUGUGUGCGGCGUUCGUCCAUUUGUUUUCUUUGGAAUUUCCGAAUUUGUUAUUUGUUUUACCGCCAUGUUUUUCGUGUUUACAUUAAUACAUUUUGUUUUUUACGGAACGCCAAAUUACCCCCUAAAAUUUCAGCACCUUGGCUAGGGCCAUUUAUUUUUUUUCGCAGAAAAUAAUCACCAUCCACCAACGCCAUCUAGCGGCCACAAUACGCACCUUUUUGAAAUCCCACCCACCGAAGGAGGAGCUGAAUCACUAUCGAUCUCUACAACCAUUUCCAACAAUUAAUAUCGAUUUUAUCGUGCCAGUGCAGAUACAGGUGAAUGUCUCAGUGAUAAUAAAUUUGUUUUUGUUUUCUAAACGUUUAUCAAUUACUGGUUUUCAAUACUGUUUAUCUCGCUUGUUGCAAUAACAUACCAGUUUAUCUCGCCGUUGAAAUGGACGACGCUGUCUGGAGUGUUGCGUUAAUCUAGUCGAUUAAAACCACAUUAAGUGUCCUCAGUGUCGCAUAUUCACUCCGGUUAGUGCCGGGCAAAUCUCUGUGAAUUAGGAUCUCCAAACCGAUCACGAUUUGAUGGCCCUACUUUUGCAAACAAAAAAAAUUUAUUAACACAGAGAAAUUUAUUAUCACAGAGACAUUCACCUGUAUCUGCCACUGGCACGAUAAAUACGGAACGCCAAAUUACCCCCUAAAAAUUCAGCACCUCGGCUAGGGCCAUUUAUUUUUUUUCGCAGAAAAUAAUCAUCAUCCACCAACGCCAUCUAGCAGUCACGGUAUGCACCGUUUUGAAAUCCCACCCGCUGGAGGAGGAGAUAAAUCACUAUCGAUUCCUAUAACCAUUUCCAACAAUUAAUAUCGAUUUAAUCGUGCCCGUGGCAGAUACAGGUGAAUGUCUCUGUGAUAAUAAAUUUGUUUUUGUUUGGAGAAGUAGGGCCAUCAAAUCGUGAUCGGUUUGGAGAUCAUCAUUCACAGAGAUUGGCCCGGCACUAACCGGAGUGAAUCUGCGACACUGAGGACACUUAAUGUGGUUUUAAUCGGCCAGAUUCUAAAUGACACAAAAAUAUACAUGAAUAAAAUCAUCGGACAUCACAGGCAUAAUCAUAACAUUAGGUUUUAUACGUAGAAUUCACGUGUGCGCAUACAAAAAAGAAAAAGAAAAAACAAUACAAAAGAGAAACGUGACUUACAACGCAACACUCCAGACAGCGUCAUCCAUUUCAACGCGAGAUAAACUGGUAUGUUAUUGCAACAAGCGAGAUAAACAGUAUUGAAAACCAGUAAUUGAUGAACGUUUAGAAAACAAAAACAAAUUUAU